GUAUUGUCUGCUGUGUCGCAAAUAUUGAAGAUUUAGGGAACAAUCACAUGUGAUGGCUUAUUACCACGAUAUGUCAAUUGGCAGCGAAAGAUAUGGGACAAGACAAUUACAUUGGACCUGUAGAACAUGUCGGAGAACAAGGCAAUGACACUGUUGGCACAUUGCACGUUUGGUAUAUUCAAUGGUUACGAGUUUGGUUGCAUCGACUAGCGAUGAUAAGACAAUGACAUUUGUUUUGAUGUAGUAUGUGUUACGAGUUGUUUUGUUUAUGUUGUUCAACUUUUAUCUAAUUUGGAUGACGGAUGUUGUUUUUUGCCUUCAAUGGAAGUUGGUUGGUUUGGCCAAAGUCCAUUGGUGGUAUCUUUUGGGAACUAGAAACCCACAAUAAUCCAUUUAUGUCAGUUUGGAAAUGCUUAAACUGAGGUUUGGUUUAA